rnacentral:lncRNA from 1 species
AUACUGGGAUAUACUGGGGUGGUGGCAAUAGGAUAUACUGGGAGAGUGGUACUGGGAUACACUGGGAUACACUGGGGUGGUGGCAAUGGGAUACACUAGGAAGGAGGUACUGGGAUACACUGGGAUAUACUGGGAUGGUGAUACUGGGAUGUACUGGGAUGGACUGGGAUACACUGGGAUAUACUGGGAUGGAGAUACUGGGAUAUACUGGGAUGGAGGCACUGGGAUAUACUGGGGUAUAUGAGAUAUAUGGGAUAUAUGGGAUGGAAUGGGAUAUACUGGGAUAUACUGGGAUGGAGGCACUGGGAUAUACUGGGGUAUAUGAGAUAUAUGGGAUAUAUGGGAUGGAAUGGGACAUACUGGGACAUACUGGGAUAUACUGGGAUAUACUGGGAUAUACUGGGACAUACUGGGAUAUACUGGGAUGGUGGCUCUGGGACAUACUGGGAUAUAUGAGAUAUAUGGGAUAUAUGGGAUGGAAUGGGACAUACUGGGACAUACUGGGAUACACUGGGAUGGUGGCACUGGGAUAUACUGGGACAUACUGGGAUACACUGGGAUGGUGGCACUGGGAUAUACUGGGACAUACUGGGAUAUACUGGGCUAUACUGGUAUGGUGGCACUGGGAGCUGCCUGUUUCUGCCCACCCCCACCCCAGGGUCCAUUUGGGGCCAUGGCAGCUCCACCCCACAGCGCUGCCCCACGGUGCCCCCCACCCCCGCCCUCCACAAAGGGCCCAUUGUGGGGCACCACGACCCCCCCCCACCCCACAACCACGCUAUAGGGCACAGUGACGUCAGUUGGGGGGGGGAGGUGGGGGCGGAUAAAGGGUCCCUUAUGGCCAUGGGGUGGGGGGGGCAUCAUUUGAGUGUCUCUAUGGCACAAUGUGCUUCUCCUGGGGGGGGGUCCCAUUUGUGUCCCCCCAUUGGGGCUGUCCUUAUGGGGUUCCCCAUUGUCUCCAUCCCUAUGGGGUGCUGUGAUAUGGGGGGGGGGCGGUUAUGGUGCUGUGCCCCCCCACUCAUCCCAAUGGCUUUGUGUGUGUCCCCCCCC